AUAUCUCAACACUCUCAAGUUCCUUCUGAGUUGGAAUUUCUUCUUCUUCUUCUUCUUCUUCCCCUCUGCUCGUCUUUGCCGCUUCAUUUCUUUGCUUCUGUAAAUCUUGUUUUUCUUCUCUCAAAGUCUCACUGUAACACAUUUAUCCCUCUGCAUACUAUUUUUCUAUCUCAUAUUUGUCAAUGAAGUCAGCUUUGCAAUUGGGGUUUAGGAGUUUCCUUCAUCCCUCCAGUGAAUCAGAGUAGGUUGAGAGUUGCAACAUUGAUACCUAAUGUGCAAAGGAAUGUAAUAGCGUCGGAUCAAUCCUCUAUAACUUUAUCCACACAGAAUUCAGAGCCUGGCGGGACAAGGAGAGAUAUAAGUCUGGAAAAUGACUGUAAAGCGGACAUUCAAAGUUUUAAGGAUGACCUGUCGAGAAUUGAGGCUAUGACGGUCCAAGAACUAAGAAUGACAUUGAGAAGCGUAGGUCUUCUAGCCAAAGGGCGUAAGCGUGAACUUGUAACUGCACUGCAAUGCUUUGUGGAGAAUAAAACAGUUGGUAUGCAUUAUUUGUCUACUGCUUAACAUGGCUAGAGAUUGGAUGUAUUGACAUGAAACAACAGUUGGUAUCAUUUAUAUUCAUAUAAUCAUAUCUCCUUUUUUUUGCUGUUGGUUUAUUUAUGAGGCUCAAGAAGAGAAGGGAAGGGGAAAAGAGGACAAAUAUUUUUAGUCUAGAUAUUAUGAAUGGCUAUGAUGUAUUGACAUGAAACAACUGCUGAAAUUUUAUUAGUUGUGUCUAUAGGAGAUUGGAUGGAUAUUACUGUCUAAUAACUGUUUGGCAAUGAUCAUUGGAGCUAUUGGCUCUAUUGAGAAUUAAUGUCUAUGCCUUCAAAAUUACGGAAUGAAAUAUCUACCGGUUUUGUUUUCCAAUCCAUGUUGUACCGUCAUUUUCUAAAAAUUUAUUGAAGAAGUCAUGAAACUUCUAGUCAAAACAUUUUAGCAUGGGAUUUAUUGUGAAAUUCUAUUAAUCCAAUCUUUGUAAGUUCCCUUCAUUAUUAAUCUGAAGAGCGUUGUCAGAGUUCUGAUAUUAAAGGUUUAGGUGUCAAUAGUCUGUUAUAGAUAUAAGCUCAGUCUUAUUAUGAAAUUGUAUGGCAAGUUCUUCCAACUGAUUUGUAACCAUUGGCCUAGUACUGAUUUCAACACUAUUAAUGAAGUCAUCUUAUGUUGUUAUUAGUUGCUUACUAAGGUAAGUCAGUUGUUUGUGUGUCUACCUUGCGUUUAAAUUCUAAUCUUCUUUUACGUAUUGCUGGCUUGUUUUGAUUUAUUUUUAACCUUUUUUUUAAUAUAUACUGUUUGUUUUUGGAUCAAUUUUUUGUUUGUUAACUCUGUAAAAGAAUUGUAACUCAUAAAUUUCCCCUCCCUUCUUCUUCUUCUUCUUCUUUUUUUAAUAAUUUAUUUCUUCGUCUUUUAGCCUCCAAAAAAUUAGAUCAUUCAUCAAUAAUGUCACAUAUGUUCCACUUGCGGAUAUUGAAGAACCUCUAAAAGGUUUCAUUUGGGAAUUUGAUAAGGUGAUUCUGAAACUGCAUCAUCAUUUUGUUUUAUAGUUACCAUGCAUAAUAUUUAUGACCUAUUUUAUUUUAUUUUUAAUAUGCAAGGAGAUUUCCAUCAUUGGGUUGACCUCUUUAAUCAUUUCAAUUCAUUUUUUGAGAAGCAUAUAAAGAGAAGGAAGGAUUUGCAGGUUGAGGAUAAUUUUGUGGGCUCCGAUCCUCCAUUUCCAAGAGAUGUGCCAACUAGUUUGCGAUUUUCUCUUCUAACAAGGAUGCGAUUUGCAAGAGCAUUUCAUUCUCUAUCUGCUCGGCAGCAAUAUACCUGCAUUCGCUUGUAUGCCUUCAUUGUUCUUGUUCAAGCAAGUGGCGAUGCUGAUGAUCUAGUUAGUUUCUUUAACUCUGAGCCUGAGUUUGUAAAUGAGUUAGUUGGCUUAUUAAGCUAUGAGGAUGAGGUUCCUGUAAAAAUACGAAUCCUUUGUCUAUUAUCAUUGGUUGCACUUUGUUUGGACCGGUUGCGCCAACCAACUGUGUUGUCUGCAGUGACUUCUGGUUGGCACUGUGGCAUCUUGUCCAGCCUCAUGUAGAAGGCUGUUGAUUCUGUGAUUACUAAUACUACAAAGUGGUCGAUGCUGUUUGCUGAAGCAAGGUGUCCUAGAUGCAAUUCCCGAGGAUAAAGAAGUUGGAAAGGAGGAGAAUGGAAGUAAUGGGUUGAUUCGCACAAGAAAGUGCAGGUGCAACAAAGGAGUAAAGAUUUGGUAUCGCGACCUCUUUAUGUUUUUUCUUGGGGAACUCU